rnacentral:rRNA from 1 species
GGACGGGGCCCGCACAAGCGGUGGAGUAUGUGUUUAAUUCGAUGCAACGCGAAGAACCUUACCUGGUCUUGACAUCCCGGAGACCCUUAGGAAACUAGGGGGUGCUUCCAUCUGGAAGAAUCUGGAGACAGGUGCUGCAUGGCUGUCGUCAGCUCGUGUCGUGAGAUGUUGGGUUAAGUCCCGCAACGAGCGCAACCCUUGCCUUUAGUUGCCAGCAGUUCGGCUGGGCACUCUAAAGGGACUGCCGGUGUUAAACCGGAGGAAGGUGGGGAUGACGUCAAGUCCUCAUGGCCUUUAUGACCAGGGCUACACACGUACUACAAUGGCCGAUACAAAGGGCAGCGACACUGCGAGGUGAAGCCAAUCCCGUAAAAUCGGUCUCAGUCCGGAUUGGAGUCUGCAACUCGACUCCAUGAAGUUGGAAUCGCUAGUAAUCGUGGAUCAGCAUGCCACGGUGAAUACGUUCCCGGGCCUU